ACAGGACUUGAUGCUCNCAGUGUAAUGCUGCAUGUGCUCGGUUUCCGUCAAAUCCACAUUACACCUGUGCACUUUCAAAGCUCUGUAGUCCUCCAUAAUGGGAGCCGCGAUUGUAAUGAUCGCUGGGGCUGCACCUUUGCCCAUACAUUUAUAAACUCUGUAUAAUGUCUUGUAGAAUGUCUAAUGGCCUUUGAUGGCUUAACAUAAUACAACUUUCAACAACGGAUCUCUUGGCUCUCGCAUCGAUGAAGAACGCAGCGAAAUGCGAUAAGUAAUGUGAAUUGCAGAAUUCAGUGAAUCAUCGAAUCUUUGAACGCACCUUGCGCUCCUUGGUAUUCCGAGGAGCAUGCCUGUUUGAGUGUCAUUAAAUCAUCAAUUCUCAACUUCUGUAAUGGUCGUUGUUGAAUUGGACUUGGGGACUUGCUGGUUCUAUGCUGAAUUGGCUUCCCUCAAAUGCAUUAGCUGAAGUCUUACAAGCAGCGUAUAUGCGGUGUGAUAAUAUCUUCACUGUAUUGCUCUUGUUGAAAUCAGCUUCUAAUGGUCCUUCAAUUGGACAACGCUUUGACAAUUUGACCUCAAAUCAGGUAGGACUACCCGCUGAACUUAAGCAUAUCAAUAA
rnacentral:rRNA from 1 species